CUUCCUGGGGCUGAGCGUGACCGAGGAGCAGGCACGGGAGGUGGCCAAGAGGUCCUCCUUCCGGGAGAUGAAGGAGCGUGUGGAGAGGGAGAAGCAGAGGGAGAGGCCCGACCCCACCAACACCGUGUGUGCCCUGACAUCCGACAGGAAGCUCAUCUUCAGGAAAGGAGCCGUGGGGGACUGGAAGAACCACUUCACUGCGGAGCAGAACGCCACGUUUGAAGCACUACUGCAGGAUAAAAUCAACUCCAGCGAGCUGGCCAGCUGCGUGGAGUAUGAAUGCUAGCGCGUCGUGAAAUGACAGCAGAAAUAUGCUAUAUAAACUAACGCCUCACAUAGUGUGUCGGCUUAGAUGUGAACACUUCAAGCUGUAAACACUGGGUUUUAUCAAUCAAGUGUAUAUUUAAGUGUGCAUGUAUACUUAACAGGUGUGUGCAAAGAUAUUUUGUUUCCUGAAAUGAUCUGCAGCGUAGUUUUUUUUCAUCAUUAGAUGAAAUAUUGGCUCUGGAGCCGAGUGAAAAUGGCACUAGUGUAGUUCGCAUAUUGAACACGAGGUGGCAGCAUUUGCACAUAGAUCACGUCUCUCUAAAUCCGACAAACUACCGCCACAAGUCUUGCUUCCUUCAAACAGCGCCACCGCUGUUGCUAUGUCCAUAUUCCAUUUCUUAUUCCAUUACUGUACGCAAUUUACGUGAUUAUUUAUUUAUUAUUGUUUUUCCUUUGUUUUGCGUUCGAGUCUUUCAUUUCAAUAGCAAUAUUCAAUUGUGUUUUUAUCAGUACUGUAUUGUGCAUGCGAGUGUUUUAGUUAUAGGGUAGUCGGCUACAAUGUGCCUGCACCAUACGAUGACUGAAUAAAAAUGAUCUUAUAUUUUCA